rnacentral:rRNA from 1 species
AGAGUUUGAUUAUGGCACAGAAAUCAACGCUGGCGGCCGUGCCUAACACAUGCAAGUCGAACGAGAAAGUGGGGGCAACCCUGCGAGUACAGUGGCAGACGGGUGAGUAACACGUGAACAACCUACCCUUGAGUGGGGAAUAACACCGCGAAAGCGGUGCUAAUACCGCAUAACAUCUUUGGUUCGCAUGGACUGGAGAUCAAAAGCGAGAGUUGCUUGAGGAGGGGUUCGCGGCUGAUUAGCUAGUUGGUGAGGUAACGGCCCACCAAGGCAACGAUCAGUAGCCGGCCUGAGAGGGCGAACGGCCACACUGGAACUGAGACACGGUCCAGACUCCUACGGGAGGCAGCAGUGGGGAAUUUUGCGCAAUGGGCGAAAGCCUGACGCAGCAACGCCGCGUGGAGGAUGAAGGCCUUCGGGUCGUAAACUCCUGUCGAUGGGGACGAAGUUCUAGCAAUAGGAUUGACUGUACCCGUUGAGGAAGCCACGGCUAACUCCGUGCCAGCAGCCGC